rnacentral:rRNA from 1 species
ACGAACGCUGGCGGCGUGCUUAACACAUGCAAGUCGAACGCUGAAGCUCAGCUUUUGUUGGGUGGAUGAGUGGCGAACGGGUGAGUAACACGUGAGUAACCUGCCCUCUUCUUUGGGAUAACGCCCGGAAACGGGUGCUAAUACUGGAUAUUCACUGAUCUUCGCAUGGGGGUUGGUGGAAAGGUUUGUUCUGGUGGGGGAUGGGCUCGCGGCCUAUCAGCUUGUUGGUGGGGUGAUGGCCUACCAAGGCUUUGACGGGUAGCCGGCCUGAGAGGGUGACCGGUCACAUUGGGACUGAGAUACGGCCCAGACUCCUACGGGAGGCAGCAGUGGGGAAUAUUGCACAAUGGGCGAAAGCCUGAUGCAGCGACGCCGCGUGAGGGAUGGAGGCCUUCGGGUUGUAAACCUCUUUCGCUCAUGGUCAAGCCGCGACGUGGGUUGUGGUGAGGGUAGUGGGUAAAGAAGCGCCGGCUAACUACGUG